rnacentral:rRNA from 1 species
GAUGAACGCUGGCGGCGUGCCUAAUACAUGCAAGUCGAGCGAACGGACGAGAAGCUUGCUUUUCUGAUGUUAGCGGCGGACGGGUGAGUAACACGUGGAUAACCUACCUAUAAGACUGGGAUAACUUCGGGAAACCGGAGCUAAUACCGGAUAAUAUUUUGAACCGCAUGGUUCAAAAGUGAAAGACGGUCUUGCUGUCACUUAUAGAUGGAUCCGCGCUGCAUUAGCUAGUUGGUAAGGUAACGGCUUACCAAGGCAACGAUGAAUAGCCGACCUGAGAGGUGGAUCGGCCACACUGGAACUGAGACACGGUCCAGACUCCUACGGGAGGCAGCAGUAGGGAAUCUUCCGAAAUGGGCGAAAGCCUGACGGAGCAACGCCGCGUGGGUGAUGAAGGUCUUCGGAUCGUAAAACUCUGUUAUUAGGGAAGAACAUAUGUGUAAGUAACUGUGCACAUCUUGACGGUACCUAAUCAGAAAGCCACGGCUAACUACGUG